AGUUCCCACUCGGCCUUUCUCCGAGAUCUACAGCCUGAAAAACUGCCGUUAACAAAACUUUAACUAUGGGAAC
rnacentral:tRNA from 1 species